GGCACAAAGGGAAGGAAAUUUGUCGAAUUUUAAACGAAGCAUUGAAAAGUGAAGACGAGUUUUACCUUCAAGUGCUGAAAAUUUUGUGUUUUAAUUGAUUUCCAACAACUUUAAUUGCUUAAAAACUGCGAAUUAUUUGGAAUAACACAUAGGAACAUAUUGCAAAUAAAAAACUCAUAACAAAAUGUCGCUAUUCGGCUCAUUAAUGGGAGAUUUCGAUGAUGACCUUUUCAUGGGCAAUCACAUGAAUGCCAUGAACAUGCAAAUGCGUUCGAUGAAUCGUUUUAUGAACUCAUUCAUGCCCGAUCCAUUCAAUAUGUUGGCACCAUUCGACCCCGGAUUCCAACAGAAUGCGCUCAUGGAGCGUAGCAAUCAACAUGUGGCUAAUCCAAUGGGUGGACUUUUCGGCUUUCCAGCAAUGCCAAAUAUAAAUAGAUUACUUAGUGCAGAUAUUGGUUCGCCAAACGGCGCCUCAUAUUGCUCCAGCUCAGUGAUUACUAUGUCCUCGGGUCCAGAUGGUCGCCCACAAAUUUAUCAGGCAACAACUAGUACAAAAACUGGACCAGGUGGCAUACGUGAGACACGUAAAACCGUUGAGGAUUCAAGGCGUGGCAUGAAGAAAAUGGCUAUUGGUCAUCAUAUUGGGGAACGUGCGCAUAUUAUUGAAAAAGAACAAGAUAUGCGUUCCGGUCAGUUAGAGGAGCGUCAAGAGUUUAUAAAUUUAGAGGAAGAUGAUGCAGAGGACUUCGAUCGUGAAUUUACCAACCGGGCACGUGCUGGUGUACGUGGUGCGCGUCCACAAGAGAUGAUCACNAUUGAAUCGGCUGAUGAUGACGAUGACGUGCGUCCACGUCAUUACAACAGACAUCACGGUAGUGGUGGACAGCAUCGCAGACAAUUGCCAGCCUUGCCCGCACCGCCACAACAACAGAAUAGCUCGACAUUGUCCCCUUCAUCGUCGGUUGAAUCGUUAAACUCCAACUCUAAAAACAACAAACGCCACAAUAACAACACCGACACUUUGUCUACGGAGCGCGCAAAUGCAAACGCCACCACAAAAAACAAAAACACAGCUUCAACGUCAACACAAAACAGCAAUAGUAAAGUCAGCAACAACAAUAGCUAUUUGACAUCGCAAACAACGCUUCGGUCUCCGUCCGCUGCCGGCUAUCAUCGCGGUAUCACAGCACGUCGUCCAUUACGUACGCCAUCGUCGUCGCCCCUUGCCACCACACCGACCAAUCACAGUCACAGCACAGCGCCAACGACAAGAGAUUGGCGGUUGUAUAAUCCACGUUUUUAUCGCACAAAUAAAUAAACAAUGGCGCAACCACAAUGAAAAUUAAAACAACAACAGUAAAUCGUGAAGAUAAAAUAAAAUAUACUCAUAUCUAAGUAAAUAAAAUAGAAAACAAAUUUAUGGAAAUCGGUUGGGAGAGCAGCCGUGGAAGCUACAACAACAAAAUAUGAAAACAAAAAUCAACACCAAGAUAAAAAUGUGCAAUAAUUUUAACUAAUUUACUACGAACAUUUGUAAACAGACAGUCUAUUCAGCAAAACGAAUAACGAAAACAACGACAAACGAAAAAAUACUCGGCGAUUUUUGAUAAUAUAAGUAAAAAACAAAAAAAAUAUUAAUCAAUCAGUCAUACAUAAUUGAUUGGCAUACGAAGUAAUAAUAUUAAUGGCAUACUUUACACACUAUAUGUACAUACAAACAAAGCGUCAAAGAAACGAUCUUGAAACCAAACAAUGCAGCCUACUUAGCCAAGAANACAUAUAGAUGCAUUGAAAUGCUUGCUGCACAACUUUCCACUUCAGUGCUGCUCAAAUCUUGUUAUUCAUAUGAGGCUGGAGUGCGUUGUAAGCAGACUUGAGACAUUUAUGCGGUUGUUAUGAGCCGAUCAAAGCUAAACAACAUCAAAUCUUGCAAAAGUAAAUUAACAAAAAAAACACACAAGACAAACAAACUGUUAUAUACAUAUAUAAUUCAGCUCCANCGUUGUGGUUAAUGAAUUGAUAUACUGCUCGCAGCCUCACGUUGUACAUCCCCAUCCAUAUAACGCUUCGGCCGCACGCCGCAAUUACCGCUCUAAACACAGCAAACAACACCAACAGCCACAUCAACC
rnacentral:misc_RNA from 1 species